GCUGGGGGACCUGGCAUGCCUGGGCCCUAAUAACCACCCCGGCGAUCAGACCAGCAUCUUGCGUCGACAUAGUGGAGCAGAGUUUGCUAUCCCUGGUGGGAGAGUCCGUGGCAAUGAAUACUAGUCAUCAGGAUCACCCAUAAGAACGCGAUGAUGUUGCUGGGCCAGAACGGGUUCAGGUGGGGCUUGCUUGGUGGGUUUUGGUUUUUAGCUGCUUGUCGCUAAGAGAUAGGCCGACGUACAUACAUAAUACACACACAGGUUGCUGGGUCUGCUCUCUGAUGAAGAAGAAUAUGAAUAGCACAUACAAAACGGAGCUGAAUAAGGUGGAAUGAUGGUUGGACUGGAGAAUUGAAAGGGAGAUGUUUCUUCUUUUUCUUCUUCUUCUACUUCUUUUAAAGGAAAACAUAUAAUAAGAGCAUAUAAAGAAGAUAAAAACGUCUGUGCCUUGAAUCCUGGGAGGUUCCUUUCUCAACACGAGAUACUGGUACUUAUUCCAAUAGGCUGAGUGUCCUGUGUACUGUACAUGAUGCUGGACAGAGUUCCAAAAACCAAGUUUCCAUUCCUGCAGCUGUGACGGGGAAACAAUCGUUGAGAGAGAAGAAAGAAUGAUGACUGUAAAGGACACUGACAUUUAAUUAAUCAUUCCCUACCCAUGGACCCGGCAUUAUUUUUGCUAUUCUUGUUAUCCCUUACUCGAUCCGCAGAGAAUUCUUUCAUCUGACGGGGAUCGACAAUCAAGAGAAAUGAUGACAAUGAAGGAGAUUUUUCUUUUUUCUUUUUAUUUUUGCUUUUGCUUUUUGCUUUUUCCUCGUUUGGGCCCUCGUUUCUUUUUUCCGUUGAGUGGCGAAGAUAAGACAAGCGCGGAAAAAAAGAAAAUACACAAAAAGGACACAAAAACAAAAACAAAAACUAGAGCUUUCAUGGACGACAUCUAAACUUAAUCCGACCUUCUUAACGAUUGUUGUUUGGCUGACCAGUACGGGGAGUAGAUGAUUUAUUCGUUAACUAACUAC
rnacentral:sRNA from 1 species